rnacentral:rRNA from 1 species
GACGAACGCUGGCGGCGUGCUUAACACAUGCCAGUCGAACGGAAAGGCCCUGCUUUUGUGGGGUGUUCGAGUGGCGAACGGGUGAGUAACACGUGAGUAACCUGCCCUUGACUUUGGGAUAACUUCAGGAAACUGGGGCUAAUACCGGAUAGGAGCUCCUGCUGCAUGGUGGGGGUUGGAAAGUUUCGGCGGUUGGGGAUGGACUCGCGGCUUAUCAGCUUGUUGGUGGGGUAGUGGCUUACCAAGGCUUUGACGGGUAGCCGGCCUGAGAGGGUGACCGGCCACAUUGGGACUGAGAUACGGCCCAGACUCCUACGGGAGGCAGCAGUGGGGAAUAUUGCACAAUGGGCGGAAGCCUGAUGCAGCAACGCCGCGUGCGGGAUGACGGCCUUCGGGUUGUAAACCGCUUUCGCCUGUGACGAAGCGUGAGUGACGGUAAUGGGUAAAGAAGCACCGGCUAACUACGUG